rnacentral:rRNA from 1 species
CCUACGGGAGGCAGCAGUGGGGAAUUUUGGACAAUGGACGCAAGUCUGAUCCAGCCAUUCCGCGUGCAGGACGAAGGCCUUCGGGUUGUAAACUGCUUUUGUACGGAACGAAAAAGCUCUUAUUAAUACUAGGAGUCCAUGACGGUACCGUAAGAAUAAGCACCGGCUAACUACGUGCCAGCAGCCGCGGUAAUACGUAGGGUGCAAGCGUUAAUCGGAAUUACUGGGCGUAAAGCGUGCGCAGGCGGUUAUAUAAGACAGAUGUGAAAUCCCCGAGCUUAACUUGGGAACUGCAUUUGUGACUGUAUAGCUAGAGUACGGCAGAGGGGGAUGGAAUUCCGCGUGUAGCAGUGAAAUGCGUAGAUAUGCGGAGGAACACCGAUGGCGAAGGCAAUCCCCUGGGCCUGUACUGACGCUCAUGCACGAAAGCGUGGGGAGCAAACAGGAUUAGAUACCCUGGUAGUCCACGCCCUAAACGAUGUCAACUGGUUGUUGGGUCUUCACUGACUCAGUAACGAAGCUAACGCGUGAAGUUGACCGCCUGGGGAGGUACGGCCGCGAGUAGAACGUACAAGAGAAGUUAGACGGCGUGAGACGUAGACCGACGGACGACGACGAGGGGAGGAGG